rnacentral:pre_miRNA from 1 species
GUUGGUACGGCGCUGUUAAUCUAUUUUGAUAAACUACGCCCUACUGACAGC